rnacentral:rRNA from 1 species
ACGAAGGGAGCAAGCGUUGUUCGGAAUUACUGGGCGUAAAGGGCGUGUAGGCGGACAUAUCAGUCAGAGGUGAAAUCCCUGGGCUCAACCUAGGAACUGCCUUUGAGACGUUAUGUCUAGAAUCCGGUAGAGGAUAGUGGAAUACCCAGUGUAGAGGUGAAAUUCGUAGAUAUUGGGUGGAACACCAGUGGCGAAGGCGACUAUCUGGACCGGCAUUGACGCUGAGGCGCGAAAGCGUGGGGAGCAAACAGG